CCUACGGGUGGCAGCAGUGAGGAAUAUUGGUCAAUGGGCGCGAGCCUGAACCAGCCAAGUCGCGUGAAGGAUGACUGCCCUACGGGUUGUAAACUUCUUUUAUAAAGGAAUAAAGUGAGGCACGUGUGCCUUUUUGUAUGUACUUUAUGAAUAAGGAUCGGCUAACUCCGUGCCAGCAGCCGCGGUAAUACGGAGGAUCCGAGCGUUAUCCGGAUUUCUUGGGUUUAAAGGGAGCGUAGGUGGGUUGUUAAUUCAGUUGUGAAAGUUUGCGGCUUAAACGUAAAAUUGCAAUUGAUACUGGCAGUCUUGAGUACAGUUGAGGGAGGCGGAAUGCGUGGUGUAGCGGUGAAAUGCUUAGAUAUCACGAAGAACUCCGAUUGCGAAGGCAGCUUACUAAACUGCAACUGACAUUGAUGCUCGAAAGUGUGGGUAUCAAACAGGAUUAGAUACCCGUGUAGUC
rnacentral:rRNA from 1 species